rnacentral:rRNA from 1 species
AUUGAACGCUGGCGGCAUGCCUUACACAUGCAAGUCGAACGGCAGCACGGGAGCAAUCCUGGUGGCGAGUGGCGAACGGGUGAGUAAAGUAUCGGAACGUGCCCAGUCGUGGGGGAUAACGUAGCGAAAGUUACGCUAAUACCGCAUACGAUCUAUGGAUGAAAGCGGGGGAUCGCAAGACCUCGCGCGAUUGGAGCGGCCGAUAUCAGAUUAGGUAGUUGGUGGGGUAAAGGCUCACCAAGCCGACGAUCUGUAGCUGGUCUGAGAGGACGACCAGCCACACUGGGACUGAGACACGGCCCAGACUCCUACGGGAGGCAGCAGUGGGGAAUUUUGGACAAUGGGCGCAAGCCUGAUCCAGCCAUGCCGCGUGCAGGAUGAAGGCCUUCGGGUUGUAAACUGCUUUUGUACGGAACGAAAAGGUUUGACUUAAUACGUUGGACUCAUGACGGUACCGUAAGAAUAAGCACCGGCUAACUACGUGCCAGCAGCCGCCGUAACAC